AAACAUUCAGGUCAAAAAUACAAUCCAGUAAAAUCAGAGAAAUUCUGCACUGGACGCAAAAGUUUCUAUUUUUGCACCAUAUCAAUUCUACUUAUCAUUCGAAUCAUCCCAAAGGCUUUACCUGGAACAAACACCAAUUUAGUCAUAAAAACACAAUCAUUAGAGUAGAAAUAAUCAUGUUAUCUCACAUAAACAUAAAUUAGAGCAAUAAAAAUAAGAUAACUAUUGGGUUGCCUCCUAACAAGCGUUAUUGUUUUACGCCCCU
rnacentral:lncRNA from 1 species